rnacentral:rRNA from 1 species
CGGUAAUACGUAGGUCCCGAGCGUUGUCCCGGAUUAUUGGGCGUAAAGCGAGCGCAGGCGGGUUAGAAAAGUCUGAAGUGAAAGGCAGUGGCUCAACCAUUGUAGGCUUUGGAAACUGUUUAACUUGAGUGCAGAAGGGGAGAGUGGAAUUCCAUGUGUAGCGGUGAAAUGCGUAGAUAUAUGGAGGAACACCGGUGGCGAAAGCGGCUCUCUGGUCUGUAACUGACGCUGAGGCUCGAAAGCGUGGGGAGCGAACAGGAUUAGAUACCCUGGUAGUCCACGCCGUAAACGAUGAGUGCUAGGUGUUAGGUCCUUUCUGGGACUUAGUGCCGCAGCUAACGCAUUAAGCACUCCGCCUGGGGAGUACGACCGCAAGGUUGAAACUCAAAGGAAUUGACGGGGGCCCGCACAAGCGGUGGAGCAUGUGGUUUAAUUCGAAGCAACGCGAAGAACCUUACCAGGUCUUGACAUCCCAGUGACUGCCCUAGAGAUAGGGUUUCCCUUCGGGGCACUGGUGACAGGUGGUGCAUGGUUGUCGUCAGCUCGUGUCGUGAGAUGUUGGGUUAAGUCCCGCAACGAGCGCAACCCUUAUUGUUAGUUGCCAUCAUUGAGUUGGGCACUCUAGCGAGACUGCCGGUAAUAAACCGGAGGAAGGUGGGGAUGACGUCAAAUCAUCAUGCCCCUUAUGACCUGGGCUACACACGUGCUACAAUGGCUGGUACAACGAGUCGCAAGCCGGUGACGGCAAGCUAAUCUCUGAAAGCCAGUCUCAGUUCGGAUUGUAGGCUGCAACUCGCCUACAUGAAGUCGGAAUCGCUAGUAAUCGCGGAUCAGCACGCCGCGGUGAAUACGUUCCCGGGCCUUGUACACACCGCCCGUCACACCACGAGAGUUUGUAACACCCGAAGUCGGUGAGGUAACCGUAAGGAGCCAGCCGCCUA